CUCCUUAAAGUGGCGGUGACA
rnacentral:miRNA from 15 species